CGGUAAAUCACUAUAUAUUUCCUUAUAUCCAUAUUCUCAAAACUACAAAAUAACUCGUUAAGAUAAUCCAGGACGCGUAAACAGAACUGCCAUUUCUAUAUUCACUAUCUAAUACUAUUUUAUUUGUAUUAUUUUCAAAUGCAAGUUCUUGUCCAUUCUUAUUUUUUUUUUUUUUCGCAAAUCACCAACCGCCCAUACAUCUCUAACUGCUGAACUGUGUAUGUUUAACAUAUGCUACAGUAUUUAUAUUUCAUUAUAUUCUUUCUAAACCAGGAGCUCAAGCCUGUUAUAUUUGUGAGGAGUCUUAACAACACACUAAUACUUCUUUUGAAUUCUAGCAAUAUACAAUAUAUACACAAACAGAAUAAAAGGAAUAACCAACUACAUUACACAUUACACCAGACAACAUCAACACUAAAACCCAACUCUUACAAUAAAUAAUAACUCAUUUAGCAGUUAAGAUUAACAAGUGGCACUUUAAAUAAUUAUAAAUGUGUAUAAUAUCAAAAUUGAUUUAAAAAAAACAACAACACACACAUCACUUAUAUCAGGAUUAAAAUUUUGUUCCGCAUACGCGCGUUUCAUCUAGAAUUGAUUCGUCAGUGAUGCUCAAAUAAAAGAAAAGGUCAAAUAAAAAAAUAAACUUUAAGCGCAUUAAGGGACAAAUUUCUAAAAGUUUUAAAAAUACAUCUGAGGUAAUCUAUUCCUUGGGUAGUAAAUCUUUAGGAUUUCGUAAAAUUCAAGGUUUUGUUAUCAUUUAAUCUAUAAUUAUAAUGACUAUAUUAGUAAUACAGCUUCACAUUAUCCAAACACAUACCAAUUUAAUCAGUAUGAUAAUGAUAUUAGGAAGAUAUUUUCGAUUUUAAAUGUGUACUGUUCUUUUUUUUGAAAAUGUCUUCAAUAUUAUCAAAGGUACCAGGAUUAUAGUUUAGUACGCCAGACGCGCAUUUCGUCUACAUAGGACUUAUCAGUGACGCUCAGAUCAAAAUAGUUAUAAAGCCAAAAAAAAAGAUACAAAGUUGAAGAGCAUAAAUGGUGUUUGAUUUUUACAACCGAUAAAAGGGAUAUUCAAUGUAAUAGCACACAAUAUAUAUAGUUAUAAUCACCGAAAAAACAAUGUACAUUUUCUCCAUCAACGAUGAUUUUAUUCUUUUUAAUUGUCAAAAGUAGGAUACGAUUAUAGCUGUUAUAUCAAACUUUGCUCAUUAUCACAAACUUCAUCUAAAAUCGCCCCAGUUUAACGUUGACGUAUUGUUUAAUGCAUAAACGACUGACCAAAUCUUGACUUCCAUCCCAAGACACAACUUAUUACUAGUACGCAUUUAUGCUCUAAUAUGUGAUCGUUUAAAUGUAUUAACUCCCAGUCGUGAAAAAUGAC
rnacentral:lncRNA from 1 species